UGAUCCUCCCAUCUCAGCCUCCCAAAGUACUGGGAUUAGAGGUGUGGGCCACCACACAUGGCCUGAAAUAUGCUUAUAUUGGUAAAUAUCCUUUACCCAGGGGCCCUGCAAUGCUGCCUUGGCCACUCGGCCCUCUUCCUGAGACUCUCUGGAUUUCUCCAUCAUCCAGUCAGUAAAGGCUUAAUGCCUCUCCCCUGGUCAUGCGGUUCCCAUGCAGAAAUAUUUCCAAAUAUUUUGAGCAUCACCUGUGCUCUGGGCUUAAGAUUUCUUACUUCUGGAAUGAAAGAUUAGAAUAGAUAACCCUAACUCUGGAAUCCUGAGGUUUUAUGUUGUACUUUUAAUAUUUAGAGUAAAAGACAGAUUUGACUUGGGUCCAGAACCCUACCUUUGCCUCUAGAAUUGGCUUUUUGGAAAGGGUUUAAAACUCUAUUUGCAUUGAAAGCCGGAAAGGACAUGAAAGCAGUUCUCUGCCAAAUUGAUUUGUACACUUUGCGCAUCAGUAACUUCAAGUAUAAGAUUACUUAUGGCACCAUCAUUGAAUCAUAAAGAUGAAUGUCUCCUCCUAAGCUCUAGCUCAGUGGUCCAAAACCAGGCUUUGGUUUCACAGUGUGAUUUAGAAAGUGAACAUAAACAUAUUCAAUAGAUGAAGAAAGAGGGUCUUCUUUUCAGAGAAAUUUAAGGAUUAAAACAGCAUCAUUUUCUCUUAACAACCCAAUGUGACCUAUAUUUGAGCUAUCAGUACACAAUAAUUGAGCAGUAAUACAAGUUGUAUGUUGGAUAGUUAAAUGGUCUCUUUUGGAUAAUAUAUACUUAUUAGGAGAAAUAUGAAGUACUUGUUUUAAAACACGUCAUUAAAUUUUCUCUUUUAUUCAAUUAAAAUUUUUUUUUAAUUUGGCAGUUUAGGACUUUGCUGGACCCUGGGCAAAUAGGGAUGAGCAAGACAGGCAGCAUCCCUGACCUUGUAGUGCUUCCAGUAUAUGUGGUGCUCAGUGAAAGAAAGUUAUCAUUAAUGAUAAUAAUGGGAGGCAGAUUUGCAUAGUGCUUAAUGGAUGCCAGAGAAAAACUGCUACCUAUUAACUGUGUGACCUUGGACAAAGUAAUCACCCAGUCUCAUUAUCUGUAAAAUGGGAGCAGUGAUAUUUCCCUAGGUCUAUUAAUAAAAUAAAAAUCAUGCCUUAUAAUGCCUUUGGAAUAAUGCCCAACAUAUAGUAACCAUUCAACAUAUGGUAUCUCUUAUUAUUAAUAAAUUAGAAUCACUAAUAAGAAUAAACAGAAAAAUAACAAGAGAAACAUGUUUAACUCAGUUCUCUUUUUCAAGCUGUCUUUGAAGCACAGAGGAGCCCAUUUUCUACAUGCUAAUUGGUUCUGUUUGAAACCUGUUACAUCACUGCUGAGCCUUCCCUCUCUGAUUAAAUAAUUCAGAUCUCCCUUUUCACUUGUUUUAAAGCCAUACCUGAUUUCUUAACUACAAGCGGCUUCUUCUUCUUUGAAUACACUUUUUGAAGAGUAGAUUGAAACCUGUAGCUACUUAACUGUCACUUGGAAAACUUGUUUAAAACUUACAUUCCCAGAUGGCAACUCCAGGAAUCUGUUUCUGAUGAGCAAACCAAGGUAUUUUCAUGCACAGACCAAUUGUGGACACAGUUUGAGAAAUUCUGCUCUUCAGAGCUGGUCUUGCAAACCUCUAAAAUAAAGGCAGAUGCUAUAAACUGGACAUAUGUCCAGAGCUGUUAUUAGUGAGCACAUGCCUAUUAAAAUGUCAAACUAAUUCCCUAAUGCCAUUCCUACGUAGCUGUGACCCAAUAUCCCUGACUGUUUUUCUCCUCCCCUCCCUCACUCUACCCCAAACCUCAGCUGCCUGACCCUUUCUUCAGGAACCUCCUGACCAACCAGCAGCUAAAGAGGUGACAUUCAGCACAGCAGUGGCCUCUGCCAUAGGGGUAUGGCUAAUGUGUACUCUAGAACUGUACUGAUUGAUAAUAUUUUUAACAUUGCCUUUGGAAAUUACUGAUUUAGGUAAAAGAUGACAUCUCUGUUCUUUGGUAAAAUAGCCACACACACACACACACAGGGUCCUACACACAUCCCCCACAUGUAUGCACAUACAUGUGUGUCCACAUGUGUCCCUGAGGCAUCUCACUAACCAUUCUACUAAGAUUCCUUCACAAACCAGUGUGACCUAUUUUUGAGGUAUCCGUGACCACAAUAAUACAGCAGUAACACAAGUUGUAUGUUGGGUAUUUGAGUGGUCUCUUUUGGAUAAAAUAUACUUAUUAGGAGAAAUAUGAAGUGGUGUAAUUAACACCCCACUUCUUUACUGAAGAGCAGAAGAAAUGGAUGGUACAGGCUUCUGGCCCACCGGCUAUGAUGAAUGAACUUCUCUACUCUGAUAUUUCAUAAAAAGCUACAGCCUCUUGGCAGUUGAAGUAAUUCUCCAAGGCUUCACUGGAACCAGUAGAAUCCCCUUUAAAAUACAGCCCAAUAGGGAAAGAAAGCCCUGUUAUUUACAUUAUAACAUGGUUAUGGUGUAUCUGGAGAUGCCUGCUACGUAUUCCUAGGAAUUUAAUUUGCCUUGCUGUGUGUGAUUUUUUUUUCUUCUUCUUUUUUUUUUUUUUUGGUAGUCUUCUAAUCUGAGUGUUCAUGUUUACUAUGUUCACUGAAGUCUUCAGCGAAGGUUCUUUUAUCUGUUAAGGGUUGACAUCUUAUAAAAGUUCAAUGUUCUGGUGUGCCAGUAUUUGGCUAUAAGAGAUUAAAGUAUUCCUAAAACUUUUCUGUUUUCAUUUUUAAAAAAUUAUUUUCAGGAGCUGGUAAGAGAUUCUAUACCUUUAAAUGCUCCCUUGAAUGACCUUAGUUCUGACUUCUCCAACUCAAAAUGAUUAAUCAUCUCACUUUUACUGCCAAGUCUGGGAUAUUAAGGCACUGCCCAGAGCUAACUUGGCCAAAAGCUUUGUCUUUCCUGGAAUUGUCCUUGGUCUUUCAAAGCUUUGUGUUGGGUAGAGAGCAUUUCACUAAGAGUACUAAGGCAUGGGUUCUGUUCCUAGUUCUACCAUUAACUUGCUAUGUGAUCUUGACCAAGACUCUGAGUCACUUUGUGUCACAGCUUCAUCACUAAUAAGGAUGAUAACAACAACCACCAACAGAUACUGAUUACUGAGUUAUCAUGUGCCAAACACUAACUCAUCACUUUACAUGCAUUAGCUCAUUAAGCAACGCUUUUUUGGGGAGUUACUAUUCAUCAGACACAUUUUCUGCAUUAUCUCAUUAAAUUCUCACAACAACUCUAUGAAGGAGCUGUUCUUAUUAUUUCUAUUUUGCAGAUAACAAGACUGAGAGUUACAAAGGCACAAUUAUUUGAGCAAGGCUCUCUUACAGUAAGUGACAUAUCAAAAAAUUGAACCCAGUAUGGUCUGAUAACCAAGCCAAUGUUUAUAGCCACAUAUAUACUAUACCACCCCCUAAUUCAACUGAUAAGUGGAGAUGGGUGUGAAGAAUCGUUUGAUCAAAGAUAUUGAGGCAGGAAUGCAUACAGCAGUGUUUCUCAACAGGGGGCAAUUCCUCCCUUCACAGGAAACAUUUGAGAAUGGCUGGAAACAUUUUGUCACAAUGCACAACUGAUGCUACUGGCAUUUAGUGGAUGGCAGCCAGGGCUCACACCAAACAUCCUACAAUGCACAGGAUAGUUGUCUGUAACAAAGAAUUAUCUGGCCCCAAAUGUCAAUAGUGCCAAGGUUGAAGUAAACUUCUCAAGAGCAAGGCUAUUCUGCUAGUGUAUCUCAAAAGAAGGAGACAAUUGGGUACUCUUUUGGUGUUACCUGGUUGCUAACAUACCCACAAAUGUCCAUCAAGUUAUGAAGAAUUCAAACUGUCAGGUUAAUGGGGUACAGUGAGAAUCAGUAGCUCUUCUUGCCAGCAAGCAAGACUUUGGCUUUUAUUAAUCAAGUUUAAUCCAGAUGGAUAGAAUGGGAAGGUCUUCCAACUGUCUAAAUUCUCUCAUUCCACCAAGAAAAUUUAGUACCUAUUCAAGGGUAACAACAAACCAAGUAACCACUAGCUGCACAUUAUAAUCACUUGGGAAACUUUUUAACAUACCAUUGCUCAGAUCUCAACCCUAGAGAUUCUGGUUAACUUGUACGGUAUUGCCUAGGUGGUUCCAAUGCACAGCCAAGGUUGAGAGUCAUUGACUAUACUGGAUCAAGGUAUGCAGUUAAGGAUUAGAAUUAGAAUGAAACAGCAGCUUUAGGGAUAAGCUGAUGAAAAAAUAAGCAUCUAGUACAUGGAACUUUAAAAUACUUGCAACAGGGUUCCAGAGAUAUAUUGCCCGAGUCUAAUCAUGAGGAAACUCCAAGCAAAUCCAAAUCGAGGGACAUUGUGCAAAAUACCUGGCCUGUACACUUACAAAGAUGACUUAAAGGUGUCAUCUUUGUAAGUGUACAGGCCAGGUAUUUUGUACAAAGAUGUUAAGGAUGAAGACUGAAGAAUGUUCUGGAUCAAAGGAGACCAAGGAGAGAAUGAUAAAUGUUCCGUACAUUAUGUGUGAUUUUCUUGUGUUAUAAAGGACAUUAAUGGGACAAUUGACCAUAAUGGAAACUAAUUUAUAGAUUAUAAUAUUGUAUCAGUGUUAAUAUCCUGGUUUUGAUCAUUGUACAGUGGUUAUAGAAGAGAAUGUCCUUGGUUUUAGUAAAUAUAUAAAACAUUUUAGAGAUAAAAGGGCAUAUAUCUGCAACUUUUCUCAAAUUAUUCAGGAAUAGAGUGUGUGUUUUGUGCAUUUGUGUGUGUGUGUGUGUUUGUGUGUGUGUGUGCAUAUGUGUGUGUGUAAAGGAUGGGUGGGACACAAGGAUAAAGAAAAUGUUGCAAUAUGUGUAUAUUGGGGAAUCUGAAUGAAGGGUAUAUGGGAAUUCUUCGUAUUACUCUAUUUUUGCCACUUUUCUCUAAAUCUUGAAAUUAUAUCAGAAUACAAAGAUAAAGUUAAUUACUUCAAAAGGUAAUAAAAGGAUUCCUCUCUCCAGAGUCCUUUGGGACUAAGAUACUUGUCUACAUUUCAUGGAUGUCUUAGGUGACAUCUUUUGUGCAAAGAAGAGUGAAGGGAUAGAAAUGGGCAAGAGAUAGCCUGAAGAUUAUCAGGUAAUUAUUAUUAUUUUAUAAUAAGGGAAAAUUAACUGUGACUUCUAAGCUAGGAGAUCCCCCUAAAUGGGUCUUCUGAUAGAACUAAGUCACCUUUUUAGAGAGCCUCCAUCUCUGAACAUCUAAUGUCAAGUCAAGUUCAUCUAAGUCAGAGUAGUGACCUGAAAUAGCUGCAGCUACUUUGUCUACAGUUCCCCUCUUUUUAGAUCCUUUUGUCAUAAGGUGGGGUGAGGGCAUGGGAGGAAUAGCUACUCAAAAAGACAGAAACAGAUUAAAUAUUCAAUUGAGUAUAACCCUUUAGAACACCCCCUUCCCCAUGCCCACCCACACCCUGCCCCAUUUAUGCCUCCCUCUGGCAUAAAUAAAAAAUAUUUACAUAGUGAAAGAGGGUGUGGGAAUGUUCCUUAUUUAUAGACUGAAAAAAAAAAGAUAAAAUUAAAACCUACUUU